CCUACGGGGGGCAGCAGUGGGGAAUAUUGGGCAAUGGGCGAAAGCCUGACCCAGCAACGCCGCGUGAAGGAAGAAGGCUUUCGGGUUGUAAACUUCUUUUGACAGGGAAGAGCAGAAGACGGUACCUGUCGAAUAAGCCACGGCUAACUACGUGCCAGCAGCCGCGGUAAUACGUAGGUGGCAAGCGUUGUCCGGAUUUACUGGGUGUAAAGGGCGUGUAGCCGGGCUGACAAGUCAGAUGUGAAAUCCGGGGGCUCAACCCCCGAACUGCAUUUGAAACUGUUGGUCUUGAGUAUCGGAGAGGCAGGCGGAAUUCCUAGUGUAGCGGUGAAAUGCGUAGAUAUUAGGAGGAACACCAGUGGCGAAGGCCGCCGCUGGAUCCAUGGCGGGCUCCGGGAUUAGAUACCCUUGUAGUC
rnacentral:rRNA from 1 species